AUGGCACGAAGUAAUUAUGUUUGUUUGCGCAAGCAAGCCGAAAACGGCUAUAUAAACUUAAGAGCUUAGGUGAAACAACACAUACAUUCAGCCAAUUUUAGUCAACGAAAAAGUAAAUAUUUACAAGUUUCGUCAAAUUAACUUGCUGAAACGGAAACCAUGGACUCUAUGAACAGUCAACGUCAGGGCGGAAUCCAGGCACUUGAGAGACAGCAGAAACGGAACACAAAACAGGAAGAACCAGGAAAUCACCCAGAAGAAGAUAAGGAUCUUUCUGAGGGGCAGACCGAAGUUCCAAAGAGAGAAGGCCAGGAAAGCGUUCAAGAAAAAUAAUUAAAACGACGAUUUUUGUAUAAUAUAAAGUUUAUUUAUUGCACCUGUCCUUUAUUUAUUUUUUACUUGUAUCUAAACUAUAUUUGUAUCGUUCAUUUAGAUUGAGUUGCUGUCGUACGUAAGAUCUGAGAUUUUUCAGUUUCAAAUAUGUUGUAGUUGCCGUGAAAUAAAUAUAUUAUUAACAUAAAAGAAAA